UCCCGAUUAGCUCAGUCGGUAGAGCGUCAGACUUUUAAUACAGUUCGAUACUGCGCACACGUGCAGUCGAGCAAAGUCUUCGAGAUUGUCUCGAAUGCAAAUCUGAAUGUCAGGGGUUCGAGCCCCCUAUUGGGAG